GUGAAUCAUCGAAUUUUUGAACGCAAAUUGCACUCCCUGGUAUUCCGGGGAGCAUGCCUGUUUGAGGGUCGUUAGAACAAUAAUCGACGCGUCGCUCUUUUUUUUUAGGGUGAUCGCGUCGGAAUUGAGCCGUCUUUCAACUGUUAAUGCAAGCAACAGUGGCUUAAAAUUCAUUAAUCCGGUCCGAUUAAAGCGUAUUUAAGAUCAC
rnacentral:misc_RNA from 1 species